rnacentral:rRNA from 1 species
GAUGAACGCUGGCGGCGUGCCUAAUACAUGCAAGUCGAGCGAACAGAUGAGGAGCUUGCUCCUCUGACGUUAGCGGCGGACGGGUGAGUAACACGUGGAUAACCUACCUAUAAGACUGGGAUAACUUCGGGAAACCGGAGCUAAUACCGGAUAAUAUAUUGAACCGCAUGGUUCAAUAGUGAAAGACGGUUUUGCUGUCACUUAUAGAUGGAUCCGCGCCGCAUUAGCUAGUUGGUAAGGUAACGGCUUACCAAGGCAACGAUGCGUAGCCGACCUGAGAGGGUGAUCGGCCACACUGGAACUGAGACACGGUCCAGACUCCUACGGGAGGCAGCAGUAGGGAAUCUUCCGCAAUGGGCGAAAGCCUGACGGAGCAACGCCGCGUGAGUGAUGAAGGUCUUCGGAUCGUAAAACUCUGUUCUUAGGGAAGAACAAAUGUGUAAGUAACUAUGCACGUCUUGACGGUACCUAAUCAGAAAGCCACGGCUAACUACGUG